ACACUUAACCAUGAGAAGUACAGUGUUCGCACCGAGACAUUGCACUUGCAGACCCUACACCUACACCGUAGCACUGCCACCCCCAUCCCUCUCCCUCCCAUCUUCAGGGCACCACUUUCAAGCUAGCUCUGCAGCUCUGGAAGUUGAUGGCUCGAAGAAAGAAGGCCCUCAGACCCAACUUAGUUUACUGGCUGCCCUAAUAGCUCUGUGGCUGUGGGACUUGACAGCUGGAAGAAGGUGCACUUGCGCCAGGCAUCUCUCUGCGGUGCUGCCGGUGGCAGCGGAGAACUGUGGUGUAAGAACUACAGGGAGAUCAGUGGCUCUUCAUGAAGUCAUCAAGAAACGGGAAGCUGCAUUUCCUGGAAUGGCCCAGAACCCAUCUUGUCUGUCCGUGAGUUUUCCAGCGCUGCUGAGCAUGUGGAAUUCCCCGCCUGCCCCGACUGUGCCCUGA
rnacentral:lncRNA from 1 species